UUUAUUUUCAAAGAUCUAUUGAAUGCACAGUCACCGAAAAAAUUUGUUAUCCAUUGCUUGAAUUUCGAUUGCUUUGUACAUGUUUGAAGGGUAUUUUCGAUUUGUCAGUUCUUUGUCUCUUUUCUUCCUCACAUCCUUCUUUUGCCAUGCUUACCGUCUCAUGCUUGAACAGGACGGUACCCAAAUCCUAGCUGGAAAAUUUUCUCCCAUUUAGAACUUUCUCUUCGUCUUUUCCUUUCUCUGUCUCUUCUUUCACAUUCAAGGACUCUUCACUCAAAUGCUCUUUCUCUGUUAGAAAACCCAAAACUCCCUCUCUCAUUCACACCAAAGUUUGGUUGGUGUUCUUUAUUUUCUAACGCUAGAAGACGCACUCGAUGAGUGAUCAAAAGGGGGAAACCAAAGGUUCACCUCUGGGGGAAGUACAAGCAUGAUUGAGGUCUGUUAUUCACCUAUUUGGGGAUAACAGUCCUUAAUCCUCACAGCACCAGCCACCAAGGACCUUUCCAGAAAACAAAAACAAAAGCAAUCCCGCCACCAUCCUAACAUAUCAGGUGAGCAGGGUCAAAAAAAUUAUACACAGCAAUCCAACUCCGCACAACCCAAGCAACCUAACUAAACAAUACAGUAGCCACAUAGAACCAGCCUACCCCAAAACUCCCAGAUCCCCCAGGUAGUUGCAUCAAAAAAGAGCCCCUGAGCCAUAAAAUACACAAAUCUGUAGUUGCACUUCAACAGAAAACACAUCCGCAUCUCUUGCACAUCUCAAAACCAGAAUCCAUCACUCACAUCCCGCAUCACAAAAAACAAACGCAAUCAAAGUCACCAGAACCUCAUCAAGGCCAAAAGCAUAAAGCAUCAUCUAGGGGCCCCCUCAAGAGAAAGCAAGAAAAAGACACAAACCUUCCCAACAGCAUCCAAGAAACAGUCAGAGAUAACCUUUCAUCGGCACAAUAUUAUCACAAGAUGCACAAGGACACAAACAAGGAGCAGACAUAAAAAUGACCCAAGCACAAAGGGGAAAAUCAAGGCAUUCAACAAAUCCACCAGCCACUGCAAGGAAUAUGUAUUAGUGUUUGAAUUAUAUAUUAGGACAUAAGUGCACAAGGAUUGUCAAAAACUAAAGGGAUAAAAAACUCCAGAGUCUUCCAUCU